rnacentral:lncRNA from 1 species
GCUACUCUGGAAAGUCCAGCCAUCAGACAAAAAGAGCUGUCCUGGGAUGACCAGCCAUCAGAUAGAUAAAACAGCCCUGGAAGACAAGCCAGCUGCUUGUCCUAAUCACUCUUCUUGUUAGUCAAGAGAAUGAUGUUAUGAAGACAAUAUGGGAAGUAAGACAUCCUCAGACACUUACCAAGAAUGAAAGAAGAUAAAGACAGCCCUGGAAAGAUUCACACUCCAGGAUGCUGAGACUCUGGGACCAUCCAUUCCAGCGUCACACUUGAUUCUACUUCAACUACAUCGAAGCUGCUUCUUUUAAAGACUUGCUUCUAGAACUUUUCCAGAACAGCUAGCUUACCUACCCAGCCUUCUAGACUGUCAUAGUCAAGAUGUCAGCUAAGCAAUGAAGUUUCUCAGCACACAGUGACUGGAAAGCAAAUGAUGCCAGCAAGCUCUCCUUUGACAAAGCCAACUUUCCAGUUUCCUUUUGGGACCCAAGAUGGGAAUCCUUUGCCCCAAUUCAGCUGAAAGCAGACAAAAGAAGAUCAUUGUCCUAGUUCCUUAUGUUGGGGUGGAUGGCUGUGGUUACUUUAGGAAUUAUAGAUUCAUUGUCAUUUAAGGGAUACUUUACAAAUGUAGCUUUGGACAGGGAGGGAACUAGAGAGAGUUGACCCAUAUCCUUGUCUGCUGUGGCUUUGGAUGGGCCAGCAGGAUCAGGAAAGGAGAGCUUGCCCCCUGACCUGAAAGUAGGAAAGCUAGUGGUCUAAUUAAUUUAAAUAACUCUCAGGUCCUGAUCCAGGGCUUUGAAUUGGCCUACCCCAAUAUCUACCCAUCAAUGAACCACAGGAGUUCAUGAAAAUUUCAUCCAACCGGUCCAAAAUGACAGCAUCGUCAUGACACAUGGCAAUAACAGGAUAUCAGAAAGGAUGCCCAGUGAGGUUCCAGUAUUGCUAAGGUAGCAGAAGUCAGAGUUCAUGAGCUAGAAUAAUGAGUCAUUACAAUGAAUAUUUGCAAGCAAAAAAAUGUGGACAAAAUGUUUUCUGUGGGAUAAACUACAGCUUCCGCCAUGAGAUUAUUUUUCUUUCUCCUUUGGGGAG